rnacentral:rRNA from 1 species
GGAGUCUGGGCCGUGUCUCAGUCCCAAUGUGGCCGAUCACUCUCUCAAGUCGGCUACUGAUCGUUGCUUUGGUAGGCCGUUACCCUGCCAACUGGCUAAUCAGACGCGGGUCCAUCUUGUACCACCGGAGUUUUUCACACUGUACCAUGCAGUACUGUGCGCUUAUGCGGUAUUAGCAGUCAUUUCUAACUGUUAUCCCCCUGUACAAGGCAGGUUACCCACGCGUUACUCACCCGUCCGCCACUAAGUCUUCCUUCUGCUUUGGCCGAAGCCUCCACGUCCGGAGCUUCGUUCGACUUGCAUGUGUUAAGCACGCCGCCAGCGUUCAUC